AAAAAAAAUUAAAAAAAAAUAAAUAAAAUCUUAAAAAAAAAAAAAGAAAAAGAAAAAGAAAUGUGUGUCCCACCCAGACCUACUCAGUCAACAACCUCAGUUUAAGAAGAUCCCCACGUGAUUUGUGUGCCUGUGAAAGUUUGAGAAACACCGGUUGAAGCUGCAUUUAUUGGCUGAACCUAAUUCCGACCAGUCAUAGCCGUGAUGGCCUUCCUGUUGCUGGCACCUUGAACUCCGCGUUUGCAGAAUGGGGAAGCCAUGGCUUCUGGGGAAGACAUCCAUGACCAAUGGAGAGCCGUUCUCCAAAAUGUUCUCAUCCCCGUCUUCCUGUGAAGAGCUCUGUGUCAAGAAUGGACCCACCAAAAAUAUUGGGAAGGGGGCGCCUGGGUGGCUUGUCGGGCCGUCCUGGAGAAACCAGAGGAGGGGCCCUCCAUGCAGUCUGGCAAGGAGCCCAGGGAAGGUGAUGGUUCACAGAGAGGCUGAGGAUAAGCAGGACUUUGCCAGGCGGAGAUAAGGUAGAGCAUUCUGGGUCCAGAGGACGGGUUACUGGCCAAGGCACCAAAGAACUGCGCUGUGGAGCGGGAAGAAUUCAUCCCUGGCUGGAAGGAGAGCAGAAAAUGCUAGAGAAGAAGGUGGGGCCACAUCUGGAAACUUCCAGACACGCAGGUCCAGCCUGUAGCCGUCUGGCCACCUCCACCCCGCACUGGUGCUUGUUUGGAACCACCCCGAUGGUCCGAGCUGCUCUGUCCUGUGUGUUUUCUUAGAUCGAAAGCUCCAGAGGGCACAACCUUGCUGACCCUCCAUGGUCUGGUCCUCAGCUGCAGCACAGAACCUUUACACAGGAGACUCCAUGAAGUUCUGUCAACCAAAUCAGUGACUCUCCCUCUUGGUGGUGGCAAGUUCCUCCCCGUGCCUGCAAUGGCCUGCUGACUCGAGUAGCCCUGAGUCUUAGCAUUCUUUGGGACUCCGCAGUCUCUUAUAUGAAGCUUCCCGAGACAGCUACAGGCUGUCUCUGACCUCCUGCACUACACCCACUCCGAUCCUGGGCUUGGCCUAGGCUGGCCUGGAGCCCCUCCUUGUGUGCGUCCCGCAGGGAGUGGAGGGCUGGAUCUGGGAAUGAGGCAGAGCUGGGGAAAAGCCUGUCUGGGUACUCCCCUGCACCCCACCCCGCACAGAUCUUAGAGACAGAAGUGAUAGAAGCUGCUGAGGACCACGUCUGACUUGCCCGGCAGAUCAACAGGCCGACUGACGUCACUGGGUUUAAAUGCGGGACGCCUUGUUUCCAUCCUCAGCCACUGACUACAGGUGGCUGUGGCCACAGUGCUGGCAGUGACGUCCGGGGCAUUGGGCCACGCGGCCUCCGCAAACACCAGCAGGAGCCUGCAGAUUCCUCCCAACCCGCCAACCUCUGACCCGGGCCUGUGCUUCCUGGGGAAGGUGGUUCGUUCUGUUUUCCAAACCCAUCUCUGAGGGACCGAUAGCCGGCAAGGAGGACCAGAGCCCUGACUUAACUAACCGACCCCGAAAACAGCAGCCUUGCACGGCUAAUUUGCUUGUCUGUGAUGGACAGGCACGUUCAGGCUGCGAGCGCCUGGUGGUCUCAGGACAGGGCUUCACCAUCUGGUCGCUGUCACCGGGGAGGGGGAGAGCUGUCAUUGGGCUGUGAGUCAGCAUCGCUCAUUUCCUCUCAGCACUGACUGCAGGACCCGGAUCACAGGCAGUGGUGCGGUGGGGUGGGGAGCCGGGACCCUGGUACUC